UCAAACUAGAAAAUGGGCAAAACAAGACCGACAUAUACAUAUAUUCACUUCAUUAUAGAAUUUAUUACUAAUUUCCUGGCAACGUCUGACUGAUAUAUUACUAGAAAUAUGUAUGUAGCCGCCAAGAAAAUUUAGCAGUAUCUCUUAAUAAAUUUCCAAAUUUAUUAUUGGCCGCGAAAACCAAAAGGUCUGCCUAUCUACUGGCAUUUUUAAACGUCCAUUAAAAAUACACAAGUUUUCACCGAACGUUAAACACUGUCAAAAUCCCUGCGAUACGUUACUAGUUACUAUGAUUCAUCCACGUAUAUCCACAAGUUUUAGAAUGUUUCCCUGCGAUCUAUCCGUCGCGAGUACAACUGCAUGGUCUUUAACGAUAACGGACGCCGAAUAACACGAACGAACGAAAGAAACGGUCCGCGAAUUAUCAUCGAGUAUUUUCAUCAGGAAGACAACUUCAAAGGCUGUUUAAUCUCUUUCGACACACAGAGCGUGCAAGAAGUAAGAGAGAAUGGCCAAGGUGAAGCAAGAAAACGGCUCGAGCUGUUAUUCGUGCUGCCCGAUAGAGAGAGGAGAGAUACGUGCUGGACAAACCGAAAGGGGAAAAAAAGAACAGUUAAAUUAAAAUCAAACCGGUAACUGCUGUCGGACGGAGAUCGGAUCGAUAUUAUCUCGAACACCCGGAUGCGAAGAUAUCUGGAUCGCGGAUGUUGUAUCUAGGUCUCCUUUGCCAUUUCUCCACGAUACAACCGAGCCGUGUUUGUAAGGUGCUUUCAUCUCAAAAUAAUGCAUGCAAUCGUGACUAUCACAUCGAUGACCAAAGAGGAGCGCGCGUCGUAAUUACGAAUCGAGAUGGACGCGCUGUUUGUAAGCGCCACUUAAAAUUUCGCGCAUUAGUUUUAUCAGUGGACAGAGAGGGAGACACCCGUCUACGAGUGGACAGAUUUUAUCCGGCAAGAUCGUUACACACUGGGGACAGUAUAGAAAUGCGAGAGACGGAGGUGACCGCGACGGUUCAACGUGCUCUUGGAAUGUCCAACCUGCACACGCAGAGAGAACGAUGAAGUAACCGAGCAUGGGUAACGAGUAACGAGUAUUGCGAGGAAGGAGAACGAAAAGAGGAAGAGGAACUCGCGAGAAGAACGAUGAAACGUGCAACAAAAAGGGAUACAAAAGAGAUCCUGCUGCUCGCGUGAAACACGUUUUCGUACGAAACUCCUUCCAGCACCCUCUGUGGGAAAUGUCGGAAUCAAUCGCUUGAACAGUUACAGAGUAACGUUCAGAUAUUUCGGAUAAAAUUUCACUUUUGGGUAGCUCCACGUUACAGAUCGAGAAUCGAUUGAGCAGUACAUGCACUCUGUUGAAAAAUUAUUGUAUCAUUACGAUUUUACGUAAAAGGAAUUGUAGUCGAUAACGGACCAAAAUUGAAGUACUAUUAAGUAAGUGUUAACUGCUACAUCGAGAUGUGAUAUUUAAAAUGUUGUGGAAUAUUUACGUUCCGUUAUUUAUCAUUUUAUAUUAUAAAUGUAUAAAAUGUCAAGAUACGGAUAAAAUGUCAUACAUAAAAUUAAA